CCCCACCGUGUUCCCGAUCGAAGAGAGAUCUUCGAGGGGGACAGUCACGGUUACGCACACGGUUGGCAAUUUUAUUAGCUUAUGUUUAAGUUCUCUAAUACCGGAUGUUAACAAAAUUAUUCCAAGUUGCCACAUAACUGCGGGCACGGCUUUCCGAAAGAUUAAACCCUGCAGGGGUGCUCCAACUAGUCCAUCACAAACGUACACAAGCCGCAAAGGCAUCCUCUAUCACGAAUCUCGUGAUCUCGUCGGAUUCCUUAGAGGAAAACCUGAACUCUGGGGGAAACCAAAGUUUCACUGGGAUUCCUAUACGCAAGAUAUACCGCUAAGGUAAGACAAGGCUAGCAGGACCUCCCGACGUGUCGACGACCCCGAUAAGAGCCGCGUAUCUCAGUCUUAGGACACGCCGGAUGAGCACAGCGUACAGUGGCCUGAUAGACAUCUCCUGAGUUGCCCCGGGUUGGCCCCGCACACGACUCUAGUUUGGACCAACACUCAUGAGGAGCACUGGCCCGGGUUGUUGAUAAAAAUCCUCGGGGCAACUAUUCCCUAUGCAGUUUAUUAUUAAGUGAUUAGCAAAUUAACACCAAUGUUGGGUCCUGCCGGACAAGUCUUAGCAC
rnacentral:lncRNA from 1 species